rnacentral:rRNA from 1 species
GAUGAACGCUAGCUACAGGCUUAACACAUGCAAGUCGAGGGGAAACGGCAUUGAGUGCUUGCACUCUUUGGACGUCGACCGGCGUACGGGUGAGUAACGCGUAUCCAACCUUCCCAUUACUGUGGGAUAACCUGCCGAAAGGCAGACUAAUACCGCAUAGUCUUCGAUGACGGCAUCAGAUUUGAAGUAAAGAUUUAUCGGUAAUGGAUGGGGAUGCGUCUGAUUAGCUUGUUGGCGGGGUAACGGCCCACCAAGGCGACGAUCAGUAGGGGCUCUGAGAGGAAGGUCCCCCACAUUGGAACUGAGACACGGUCCAAACUCCUACGGGAGGCAGCAGUGAGGAAUAUUGGUCAAUGGACGGAAGUCUGAACCAGCCAAGUAGCGUGCAGGAUGACGGCCCUAUGGGUUGUAAACUGCUUUUGUAUGGGGAUAAAGUUAGGGACGUGUCCCUAUUUGCAGGUACCAUAUGAAUAAGGACCGGCUAAUUCCGUGCCAGCAGCCGCGGUAAUACGGAAGGUUCAGGCGUUAUCCGGAUUUAUUGGGUUUAAAGGGAGCGUAGGCUGGAGAUUAAGUGUGUUGUGAAAUGUAGACGCUCAACGUCUGACUUGCAGCGCAUACUGGUUUCCUUGAGUACGCACAACGCUGGCGGAAUUCGUCGUGUAGCGGUGAAAUGCUUAGAUAUGACGAAGAACUCCAAUUGCGAAGGCAGCUGACGGGAGCGCAACUGACGCUUAAGCUCGAAGGUGCGGGUAUCAAACAGG